rnacentral:rRNA from 1 species
UGGGGAAUAUUGGACAAUGCGGGAAACCGUGAUCCAGCAAUGCCGCGUGAGUGAUUAAGGCCUUAGGGUUGUAAAGCUCUUUUACCAGGGAUGAUAAUGACAGUACCUGGAGAAUAAGCUCCGGCUAACUCCGUGCCAGCAGGGGCGGUAAUACGGAGGGAGCUAGGGUUGUACGGAAUUACUGGCCAUAAAGCGCGCGUAGGCGGCUAUUCAAGUCAGGGGUGAAAUCCCGGGGCUCAACCCCGGAACUGCCCUUGAAACUAGGUAGCUAGAAUACUGGAGAGGUGAGUGGAAUUCCGAGUGUAGAGGUGAAAUUCGUAGAUAUUCGGAAGAACACCAGUGGCGAAGGCGACUCACUGGACAGUUAUUGACGCUGAGGUGCGAAAGCGUGGGGAGCAAACAGGAUUAGAUACCCCUGUAGUCC